GCUAAGUCUAAGACCCAUGUAAAUAAUGUAUGAUUAUGUAAGAGGUACGCGUGAUCUAGCACGUGUACAUAAAGAUAUGUACGAGUGUAUGCAUGUAUGUAAUGAUGUAGGAAAGGGAAGAUAUGUACGUAUGUAGAUGUGUAUGUAUGUAUGUAAUUACGCAUGUAUGCAUAAUUUAGUCACGUUGAGGGCUAACGUUAUUAAUGGGGCACCUUGAGAAUGGAAAGUAAUGCAGGUACAUUAUUGAAGCCUCACCAGGAAAUGGAUACGCAUAUGAAAUGCUUAAAGUUUGAAAGAUGACGAAAUGUGAAGUGUACGCGAAUGAAUCUUGUUAUAUAAUGUGUACUAAUGUUAUGAAUGUAUGUGGUGAGUGCAGGUUAUACGGAUAACGGGCGGAUUAUCACAAGAAUUAGAGAUCGAAGACCGAGUC
rnacentral:lncRNA from 1 species